rnacentral:sRNA from 1 species
AUGGAGAAAUUGGACCAAGAGGUCUUCCAGGUGAAGCUGGUAUGGCAGGUGUAGAUGGCCCCCCAGGACCGAAAGGGAACAUGGGUCCCCAAGGGGAGCCUGGGCCUCCAGGUCAACAAGGGAAUCCAGGACCUCAGGGUCUUCCUGGUCCACAAGGUCCAAUUGGUCCUCCUGGUGAAAAAGUUUCCUUUUCUUUCUCAUUAUUUUACAAAAAUGUAAUUAAGUUUGCUUGUGACAAAAGAUUUGUAGGAAGACAUGAUGAAGGGAAAGUUGUGAAGUUGUCAUUGCCAUCAUAUCUCAUAUAUGAAUGGAAAAUGAUGUUCUUGUUAGUAACUCAAUGUCUGGAUCAAAACAAGAAUAAAUCUAUAAUUAAACAC